rnacentral:ncRNA from 1 species
GGAUAGCUGGAGCCCAUUACGAGUUCUAUCAGGUAAAGCCAAUGAUUAGAGGCAUUGGGGACGCAACGUCCUCGACCUAUUCUCAAACUUUAAAUAGGUAGGAUGGCUCGGCUGCUCAGGUGAGCCGUGCCACGGAAUCGGGUGCUCCAAGUGGGCCAUUUUUGGUAAGCAGAACUGGCGAUGCGGGAUGAACCGGAAGCCGGG